rnacentral:rRNA from 1 species
GAUGAACGCUAGCGGCAGGCCUAACACAUGCAAGUCGAGGGGUAGAAGUUGCUUGCAACUUUGAGACCGGCGCACGGGUGCGUAACGCGUAUGCAAUCUGCCUUGUACUGAGGGAUAGCCCAGAGAAAUUUGGAUUAAUACCUCAUAGUAUUAUGGUGUGGCAUCACAUUAUAAUUAAAGUUCCAACGGUACAAGAUGAGCAUGCGUCCCAUUAGUUAGUUGGUAAGGUAACGGCUUACCAAGACGAUGAUGGGUAGGGGUCCUGAGAGGGAGAUCCCCCACACUGGUACUGAGACACGGACCAGACUCCUACGGGAGGCAGCAGUGAGGAAUAUUGGACAAUGGGCGAAAGCCUGAUCCAGCCAUGCCGCGUGUGUGAAGAAGGCCUUCGGGUUGUAAAGCACUUUCAGUAGGGAGGAAGAGUUGAGUGUUAAUAGUACUCAGCUUUGACGUUACCUACAGAAGAAGCACCGGCUAACUCUGUGCCAGCCGCCGCGGUAAGAC